rnacentral:rRNA from 1 species
AACGCAGCGAAGGGCGAUACGUAAUGUGAAUUGCAGAAUUCAGUGAAUCAUCGAAUCUUUGAACGCAUAUUGCGCUCUUUGGUAUUCCGAAGAGCAUGCUUGUUUGAGUAUCAGUAAACACCUCAACCUCCUCUUGUUUUUUCAAAAGGAGGGUGGACUUGAGCUAUCCCAACAACCUUCACCGGUAGGCGGGCGGCUUGAAAUGCAGGUGCAGCUGGACUUUUAUCUGAGCUAAAAGCAUAUCUAUUUAGUCCUCGUCAAACAGGAUUAUUACUAUUGCUGCAGCUAACAUAAAGGAUAAUUGUCCUCAUUGCUGACUGAUGCAGGAUUUUACGACACUUUAUGUGUUGUUCAACUCGAUCUCAAAUCAAGUAAGACUACCCGCUGAACUUAA